rnacentral:rRNA from 1 species
UACGUAGGCAGCGAGCGUUGUUCGGAGUUACUGGGCGUAAAGCGUGCGUAGGCGGUUUUGUAAGUUUGGUGUGAAAUCUCCCGGCUUAACUGGGAGGGUGCGCCGAAGACUGGAAGGCUUGAGUAUGGGAGAGGUAAGCGGAAUUCCUGGUGUAGCGGUGAAAUGCGUAGAUAUCAGGAGGAACACCUGCGGUGUAGACGGCUUACUGGACCAUCACUGACGCUGAGGCACGAAAGCGUGGGUAGCAAACAGG